rnacentral:rRNA from 1 species
GACGAACGCUGGCGGCGUGCUUAACACAUGCAAGUCGAACGGAAAGGCCCUGCUUUUGUGGGGUGCUCGAGUGGCGAACGGGUGAGUAACACGUGAGUAACCUGCCCUUGACUUUGGGAUAACUUCAGGAAACUGGGGCUAAUACCGGAUAGGAGCUCCUGCUGCAUGGUGGGGGUUGGAAAGUUUCGGCGGUUGGGGAUGGACUCGCGGCUUAUCAGCUUGUUGGUGGGGUAGUGGCUUACCAAGGCUUUGACGGGUAGCCGGCCUGAGAGGGUGACCGGCCACAUUGGGACUGAGAUACGGCCCAGACUCCUACGGGAGGCAGCAGUGGGGAAUAUUGCACAAUGGGCGGAAGCCUGAUGCAGCAACGUCGUGUGCGGGAUGACGGCCUUCGGGUUGUAAACCGCUUUCGCCUGUGACGAAGCGUGAGUGACGGUAAUGGGUAAAGAAGCACCGGCUAACUACGUG